rnacentral:rRNA from 1 species
GACGAACGCUGGCGGCGUGCUUAACACAUGCAAGUCGAACGGAAAGGCCCUGCUUUUGUGGGGUGCUCGAGUGGCGAACGGGUGAGUAACACGUGAGUAACCUGCCCUUGACUUUGGGAUAACUUCAGGAAACUGGGGCUAAUACCGGAUAGGAGCUCCUGCUGCAUGGUGGGGGUUGGAAAGUUUCGGCGGUUGGGGAUGGACUCGCGGCUUAUCAGCUUGUUGGUGGGGUAGUGGCUUACCAAGGCUUUGACGGGUAGCCGGCCUGAGAGGGUGACCGGCCACAUUGGGACUGAGAUACGGCCCAGACUCCUACGCGAGACAGCAGUGGGGAAUAUUGCACAAUGGGCGGAAGCCUGAUGCAGCAACGCCGCGUGCGGGAUGACGGCCUUCGGGUUGUAAACCGCUUUCGCCUGUGACGAAGCGUGAGUGACGGUAAUGGGUAAAGAAGCACCGGCUAACUACGUG